GUCUACGGCCAUGCCACCCUGAACAAGCCCAAUGUCUGAUAGCAGGAUCGGGCCAGGUUAGUACUUGGAUGGGAGACCAUCUAGGAAGAACAGAUGCUGUAGGCA
rnacentral:rRNA from 1 species